UGCCAGCCGCCGCGGUAAUACGGAGGGGGCUAGCGUUGUUCGGAAUUACUGGGCGUAAAGCGCACGUAGGCGGAUAGUUAAGUUAGGGGUGAAAUCCCGGGGCUCAACCCCGGAACUGCCUCUAAUACUGGCUGUCUUGAGUUCGAGAGAGGUGAGUGGAAUUCCGAGUGUAGAGGUGAAAUUCGUAGAUAUUCGGAGGAACACCAGUGGCGAAGGCGACUCACUGGCUCGAUACUGACGCUGAGGUGCGAAAGCGUGGGGAGCAAACAGGAUUAGAUA
rnacentral:rRNA from 1 species